rnacentral:rRNA from 1 species
UUGGUUAACGCCAUGUUAGACACAUCGGGUCUCUCCAAGGCAUGGUGGGGGGAGGCGAUAUUGACAGCAUGUCAUGUCCUAAAUCGAGUUCCCACAAAGAACAAAGAGAUAACUCCGUUCGUGGAAUGGGAGAAGAAAAGGUUAAAGCUCUCUUAUCUACGAACCUGGGGUUGUUUGGCGAAAGUCAAUGUGCCAAUUGUAAAGAAGCGGAAGCUGGGACCAAAAACUGUGGAUUGUGUUUUCCUGGGAUAUGCUUUUCAUUGCAUUGGCUAUAGAUUCUUGGUUGUAAAAUCUGAGGUACCUGACAUGCAUGUCGGUACGAUCAUGGAGUCGAAUGAUGCGACUUUCUUUGAAGAUAUCUUUCCCAUGAAGGAUAUGGCUACCUCAUCUAAUCAGGAGAUGCCUAGUUCAUCGAAUCAGGAACCAGUUACAAUUACCGAACCUGCCAUUUCGAUGGAACACUUUGAAAGUCCUGUGGAGAAAAACAAUGAAGUUCCUACUAGGAGCAAGAGACAAAGGACUGCAAAGUCCUUUGGUGAUGAUUUUCUUGUGUAUCUCAUAGAUGACACUCCCAGUUCUAUUUCGGAGGCCUAUGCAUCGGAAGAUGCUGACUACUGGAAGGAAGCGGUUCGUAGCGAGAUGGAUUCCAUCUUGGCGAAUGAAACUUGGGAGAUAACUGAUCGUCCUUAUGGGUGCAAACCUAUAGGAUGCAAAUGGGUAUUCAAGAAGAAGCUUAGGCCUGAUGGUACUAUUGAAAAGUACAAGGCUCGGCUCAUCGCUAAGGGUUAUACCCAAAAGGAAGGUGAAGACUUCUUUGAUACUUACUCACCUGUGGCUCGACUAACCACUAUUCGAGUUCUACUUUCACUAGCUGCCUCACAUGGUCUUCUCGUUCAUCAAAUGGAUGUUAAGACUGCUUUCCUGAAUGGAGAGUUGGAUGAGGAAAUUUAUAUGGAACAACCAGAUGGGUUUGUAAUAGUUGGUCAGGAAGGGAAAGUGUGCAAAUUGCUGAAGUCUUUGUACGGACUCAAGCAAGCACCCAAACAGUGGCAUGAGAAGUUCGAAAGAACUUUAACAGCUGCAGGCUUUGUUGUGAACGAAGCUGACAAAUGUGUGUACUAUCGCCAUGGUGGGGGUGAGGGAGUUAUGCUUUGCUUGUAUGUUGAUGACAUACUGAUUUUUGGAACAAAUCUGAAUGUUAUUAAGGAGGUCAAGGAUUUCCUAUCUCGCUGUUUUGAGAUGAAAGAUUUAGGAGUGGCUGAUGUCAUUCUAAACAUCAAGUUGUUGAGAGAUGAUGAUGCCAGUGCUACAAGACCUGACAUCUCUUUUGCUAUUAGCAAGCUGAGCAGGUUUGUCUCAAAACCGGGAGAUGUGCAUUGGAAAGCUCUAGAGAGAGUUUUGCGUUAUUUAAAAGGCACUGUAAACUAUGGAAUUCACUACACUGGGCACCCAAAGGUGCUUGAAGGGUAUAGUGACUCAAACUGGAUCUCAGAUGCUGAUGAGAUAAAGGCCACGAAACUCACAGCACUAGAUACAGCUACGGUCGAAGCAGAUUGGCUUCGCCAACUCUUGAAUGACUUGCCAGUUGUUGAGAAACCUGUACCGGGUAUCCUUAUGAACUGUGACAAUCAAACUGUGAUCACGAAAGUGAACAGCUCUAAGGAUAACAUGAAGUCAUCAAGACACGUUCAGAGAAGGUUAAAGUCUGUCAGGAAAAUGAGAAACUCCGGAGUUAUUGCAUUGGAUUAUAUCCAAACGUCUAAAAAUCUGGCAGAUCCUUUCACUAAGGGUCUAUCACGUAAUGUGAUAGAUAAUGCAUCGAGGGAGAUGGGUAUGAGACCCACA